rnacentral:rRNA from 1 species
GACGAACGCUGGCGGCGUGCCUAAUACAUGCAAGUCGAGCGAAUCAAUAGGAGCUUGCUCCUGUUGGUUAGCGGCGGACGGGUGAGUAACACGUGGGCAACCUGCCUGUAAGACUGGGAUAACACCGGGAAACCGGUGCUAAUUCCGGAUAAUCCUUUUCCUCUCAUGAGGAAAAGCUGAAAGUCGGUUUCGGCUGACACUUACAGAUGGGCCCGCGGCGCAUUAGCUAGUUGGUGAGGUAACGGCUCACCAAGGCGACGAUGCGUAGCGGACCUGAGAGGGGGAUCGGCAACACUGGGACUGAGACACGGCCCAGGCUCCUACGGGAGGCAGCAGUAGGGAAUCUUCCACAAUGGACGAAAGUCUGAUGGAGCAACGCCGCGUGAGCGAUGAAGGCCUUCGGGUCGUAAAGCUCUGUUGUUAGGGAAGAACAAGUACCGGAGUAACUGCCGGUGCCUUGACGGUACCUAACCAGAAAGCCACGGCUAACUACGUGCCAGCCGCCGCCGUAAAAC